rnacentral:lncRNA from 1 species
AUGCAUACAAUGCUCAAUCUCCAUUGUUCUACCCUUUUCCCAAACAUUCAAGUUACACAAUCACUUCCCAAUGUCAAACCCAACUCACAUCUCUCACCAAAAGAACCCAAGAACACUUUGCACAUAAAACUCUUUUUCUUUGAAAUCUAUAAAGGAUUUUCCUCAACUUCAAAACAAUCUUAGCUCCUAACAACUUUGCUAGCCCCAUUUUCUCUUUUUUUUUUAUAUAUAUAUUUUUUUCUUUUUUUUUUAUUAUUAUUAUUAUUAUUUUUUUUUUCGGAGGCCAAGACUUUUGAUAAACUCGAGCUAGAUGUUUAUCUACUAAUUCCAAUAAGAUUAU